UGGGGAAUAUUGGACAAUGGGCGCAAGCCUGAUCCAGCCAUACCGCGUGGGUGAAGAAGGCCUUCGGGUUGUAAAGCCCUUUUGUUGGGAAAGAAAUCCUAUCGGUUAAUAACCGGUGGGGAUGACGGUACCCAAAGAAUAAGCACCGGCUAACUUCGUGCCAGCAGCCGCGGUAAUACGAAGGGUGCAAGCGUUGUUCGGAAUUACUGGGCGUAAAGGGCUCGUAGGUGGCCAACUAAGUCAGACGUGAAAUCCCUCGGCUUAACCGGGGAACUGCGUCUGAUACUGGUUGGCUUGAGUUUGGGAGAGGGAUGCGGAAUUCCAGGUGUAGCGGUGAAAUGCGUAGAUAUCUGGAGGAACACCGGUGGCGAAGGCGGCAUCCUGGACCAACACUGACGCUGAGGAGCGAAAGCCAGGGGAGCAAA
rnacentral:rRNA from 1 species